rnacentral:rRNA from 1 species
GACGAACGCUGGCGGCGUGCCUAACACAUGCAAGUCGAACGGUAAGGCCCUUCGGGGUACACGAGUGGCGAACGGGUGAGUAACACGUAGGUGAUCUGCCCUGCACUUCGGGAUAAGCCUGGGAAACUGGGUCUAAUACCGGAUAGGACCACUGCCUGCAUGGGUGGUGGUGGAAAGCUUUUGCGGUGUGGGAUGGGCCCGCGGCCUAUCAGCUUGUUGGUGGGGUGAUGGCCGACCAAGGCGACGACGGGUAGCCGGCCGGAGAGGGUGACGGGCCACACUGGGACUGAGCUACGGCCCAGACUCCUGCGGGAGGCAGCGGGGGGGAAUAUUGCACAAUGGGCGCAAGCCUGAUGCAGCGACGCCGCGUGAGGGAUGACGGCCUUCGGGUUGUAAACCUCUUUCAGCACCGACGAAGCGCAAGUGACGGUAGGUGCAGAAGAAGGACCGGCCAACUACGUGCCAGCCGCCGCCGUAA